rnacentral:lncRNA from 1 species
CUGCAACUUCAAUUCGUUCAUCAUGACGCUAUCAGGUGCGGGUUUGGGAAAUCCCGGAUUGUAAUAACGCAUUUAUCAUUGACGGUCUACACCUUUAAGACGUCGAAACUGUGCGUACUGGGAGUGGGCAUAUGUUCAACUGUAAAAUCACAACAACACAUCGCAAUGGGGAGUAUGUGAAGAGGACUCUCUGCAAUGACCACUAGUUAUAGAAAAGCCAAGAACAACGACAUUUAUCUCAUCAACACUAAAAUAUCUGCCGGUAUCCUGCAUGCUGUACUGUUGUGGAAGCAAGGACAAGGAGAAGCAGCGCUCAGACGCUGCUGAUGUGUCGAGAAUUCUAGAGACAGAGAAAAACCGAAAGAACCGUGAAAGCGCACCUCAACCAGUGGAAAUGUACGGAAUAGCGGGAAUACCCGAGUUUCUACCCCCCUCUGGCGUACUCCAGCCCAGCUCAGUAAUCCCACUCGAGUCUGGUGAGGUGCCUGGUUUGGGGAGUCGAUUCAACAGGGGUGUGCUGAGCUCUGACUCCCCCCAGCGGAGACGAGGCCAACGGGCCCCGAAGCUAGGGCAAAUAGGACGGUCGAAGAGAGUGGUGAUAGAGGAUGAGGACUUGGAUGACGUCAUGAACAACAAUGGCCUCCCCAUAUCAAUCAAUAUCUCUCCUGUUGCCUGAACACUGUCAGACUGUCCAGACCUCAAGAAGCUAUCGUGCUCAUUUGUGAAAUUCUGAAGCGAAUACCACUUGUUCCGGACCAUACCCAGUUCAGGUGCCCAUUGCAAAGUUUACAAUAGCAGCAUGCGCAUCACCUGUAGUUUAGCUCUUCCUGGGGGGAAGGUGGGUGUCCCAAGGAAGUAGAGAGAACACGGUGCAUCUCUGCUGCUGUUCUGGUUUUCAACAGGAGGGGAGCAAGUUGGAUAGAUUUGGAGCCAGACAGGCUGAAACAUAAGCACAUACGAGAAGGCCCUACCCAUCAAGACCUGCCCCUUAAAAAUGAGUUGACCUAUGCCUUUUCAUUGUUUCACAUAUUAUGUUGACAAAUACACUUUAUUUUAGCCUUUGAUGGUCGACAACACUGUCUCGUUUUGGUGCAAAUGAAGUGUCUGUAAAAUCUGUUCUAAAACAUAGAUAGAUAGAUACACUGUAGACUUUCAUUUGUCAUGCAUGUCCUAAUUAGAAGCUUAGUAGGCCUAUACCCUGCCUGUGUUGUAAUGUAGUUUAUUUUUUACCCUUGAGCUCCUAGACGAAGGAGUUCUCACUGUGAACUAGUGAACUUCAAUGUAUCCCUGAAUAGAGGUGUAAAGACACCUUUUUUUUUUUGAAUUAGCUUCUUGUCCAAUGUCCUUCACCAAUCACCAUAAUAAUCUAAUCUGGUCAACAACAAAAAAAAUCAUAUGACAUUCAGACAAGUUGCCUACCUCUGCUCUUGGUGUAUCAUUCAUUUUGGUGGUUCAUGUAAAACCCAGUUACGAAUCAGAACGAUGAAGUAGAUCGCAACACGGAGGAGAAGUUCGGUAUUUGGUGUAUGACUGAAGGAGCUGUGAGGAAUACAUUGUUUUAAUAUGGAACCAUUGGUCAGUUUGGCUCAGACUUUUUCCCGAUAGCUGUAAAGUUAUACAAUUAUUAUCACUAAAAGGGUUAGGACUACUUCAACUCCAGUUACAGUAAUUCAAUUCUCAUUAAAACAAAAAUAAAUUAUAUGCUUGAACUGAUACUAAAGUGGGUGGUUUUUUUUUACACUUUGUAUGAAAGAGUCUGAUAAGUGGCAUGUAUUAUUGUAAAACCUUGAUUAUACUUCUUGGAAUGUGAUAUGCUGUUGUACAGUGAGAGUACCACCAGAUGGUGAUAAAGUCAAAGGAACACAGUGCUCUGCCCAGAACUUUUGUCUCACUCAACUAGUACAGACUUGUAAUUCAUUUGGAAUAAAACCUGUUUGGGUAGUCUUUGGAAAUGAACCUAUUUUUGGGUAGUCUUUGGAAAUUAACCUAAGUCACAAGAUCACUGUUGAAGACAAUGAGAACAUUUUUGGUUUGAGGAGAAGUGUUAUUUUGGUAGGCAACAUGUAGAUCUGAGAGAACUUUGUGGAUGUACCCUUCCCUACAUAUUUAUUUGGACAGUGAAGCUAAAACAUUUAAUUUGGCUCUAUAUUCCAG